rfam:Oryza sativa Japonica Group DNA, chromosome 12, cultivar: Nipponbare, complete sequence.
AAAAAAGACAAACCCGGAUUUCCGUGUCCAACGUUUUACUGUUUGUCUUAUAUGAAUUUUUUUAUAAUUAGUAUUUUUAUUAUUGUUAGAUGAUAAAACAUGAUUAAUACUUUAUGCAUGACUUAUCUUUUUAUUUUUUUCAUAUUUUUUUCAAAUAAGACGGACGAUCAAACUUGGACACGGAAACCCAGGGUUUGCCUUUUU